rnacentral:lncRNA from 1 species
GAAAUUGACAGCUGUCCAAGUCUGGAAUUACUGCCAGGAGAGGAACUUCAACACCUCACUUCUCUUCAAACUCUAAUUAUUAGUUCGUGUGGCAGUCUCCAAUGCCUGCCAGAAGAGGAUUUGCCGUCAUCUCUUUCUCAUCUGAGUAUCUGGCGGUGUCCUCCCCUGGAGAAAAGGUAUAAGAAUAAGACGGGACAAGAUUGGGCAAAGAUAUCUCACAUUCCUUGCAUCAAGAUAGGAUACGAACUGAUCAUAUAAUAUGAGCUAUUCCAUAUUUCAUGCUCAACCCUCAACUCUCAAAUCAAAGUCAGGUGAGGUGUGUGCCUUCUCUUACUUUAAAAAACUGCUUCUCUUCUUCUAAUUGAAUACAAAAACCAAAACACAUAUUCUCUUUCUCUUCCAAAAACCCAAAUACAUGUUGGACAUUGCCCAAAUUUGAUCUCCAAAUUCCUAAUUAUUUCACGCUUUUUGUUAUUUUAUGGUUGCUGGUCACAAAUUAUAUCCUACUUGGAGUAUCAAAUGCUGAAUAAUUAGCAGUCUUUUUGCAGGACGACAUACCUUCUCUUGGCCCUUGGGGAGCUUUUCAAAAUUUGCAAGGUUUCUUUAUGUGGCAUUUCCAGAGGAGGGUCACAGGGCGGAGAAACAGAAAAGGUUUACCUGGAAUAUCUCAUACAUUCCUGCAUGUAGGCAUCAAAUGUACACCAUUUUUAGGUACUUUUAUAUGAAAAAAAUUGUAUUUGAGUCUCAUUUGCACUAGUUUAAAUCAAAUUUAAUGCCUAUGGAUAGUCUAUUAAUAGGUUCAUGCCAUGAAUUAAUCUUUGGACUUUCCCAGGUACUGCAGGUUUGUUAUUAAUGUUGUGGCUAGGUUGUCUUACGUUGAGGAGAGAGAUCGAUCAGCAAUUACAAAAUUGUUAGCGAAUUUAGUUUGUUUAUCAUCUCUCUCCUUUUGUUUGUUAAGUUUUGUUGUUCUAGGUUAAACCCUUGUCCCCGCAUUUCACAGCAACUCUGUGUUAUUCCACUCUGUUUAGAUUUCAUUUAUGUUGUGAUUCGACUGCUGCUGUAUUUUAGAUUUCGUUCAUGUAAUGUUAGGAUGUUUAAUCUCUGAUCUGUGGUGGUAGUUGAGUAGUUGAGUAGUCUAGUUAAUCCAGUAGAUAACUUGUCCCCUGUUUUGUAUUGUUUUUAUUUCUCUGGUAAUGAAAGCACGUUUCUUAUAAAUAAAUAAAAAAUAUUUCAUUGAUAUUCAUUGCUUAUUUUGAACUGCAGAAGCCUACUUUUGUCAGAGUCAGUAGAUGCCAGAAUGAAGUCAUUGCCUAAACACAUUGGCACCCUCACAGCCUUCGACAUUUUGGGAUAUAUGAUCUUCAAAAUCUUGUGUCAUUUGCCUCCCAACCUGCAAUAUUUUCAUAUUUUAAAUUGUGACAGACUGAGCCCUUUGGUGGGAGAUUACUGGGGUUUGCAAGGACUUGGUGGCAAUAUCUUGUAGACGUUUCUCAAGGAACAGCUGCUCAAUGCCACUCUUCGCACUCUAUAUAUUAUGGCCUGUCAGUCUAAAAUUCCUGCCAGGAGAGGAACUUGAACGCCUCUCUUCACUGCAAAGGCUACAUAUUUGUGGGUGUGACAAUACCCAAUUCCUGCCAGAAGAGCGUUUGCUGCCAUCUCUUUCUUAUCUGUGCAUCGACCAUUGUUUUGCCAUGUAGAAAAGGUAUCUCACAUUCCUUGCGUCAAGAUAGGUGAAGAAGUGAUCAUAAGGUAUGAGCUCUCUCUCCCUCUCGCUCACAUACAAAGUACUUAAACACUCAAUCUGAUUUCUAUUAUUAUUUUGCUCAGUAAAUUUUGUUUAAAUUUGCUUUAUUUCUCAUUGCGCUUGUUCUGCUUAUCACAACUUAUAUCCUAUUUAAAUCUCAAAUGCUGAAUAAUUAGCAGGCUUUUCGCAGGACAACAUAUCUUCUCUUGGAGAGAUAUUCAUUUGCAAGGUUUCUUUAUGUGUCAUUUCCAGAGGAGGGUUUACUAUUUAAUAGAAAGGUUCACCUGGAAUAUCUCAACUGACACAUUCCCAAAUACAAGCAUUGAAUGCACAACAUUUUGAGGUACUAUUUUUGUAAUAAAAAUGUACUUGAGUCUCAUUUGAGCUAGUUUAAAUUGUAUUCAAUGUCUAUGGAUAACCUGUGAGCUUAAGUAGUAAGAUAAAACUCACAGUAUAUUAUUAGGGUUUAGGGUUCAACAGGUGAGCUUUAGUUGUACUUUCCUAGGUACUGCAUGUAUAUUAUCUUCGUAUCAACAGGUGGUCUUAUGUGGACGAGCGAGAACAUUGAGGAAUUACAAAAUCUUCUUAGCUUGUUUCAGCUCUGUUUGUCAUCCCUCACAUUUUCUUUGUUAAGCCUUGAUUUUUUAUUAGACAUAAGAAAAAAUGCUUUUAUAAGACAGGAGAUGAAUGCUUUUAUAUGUUGAUGUCAUAGUCAGUCUUCAACCACACUCUGUUUUUAGAAUUCAUUUAUGUUACAAGUGGAGUGCUGCUGUAUUUUAUAUUUCGUUCCUGUAAUGUUUGGAUGUUUAGCUUGAGUAGUCUAGCUUAUCCAGUAGAUAACUUGUCCCCUGUUUUGUAAUGUUUUUGUUUCCUCUAAUGAAAGCAGGUUUUACUUAUCUUGAAUUGCAGAAGCCUACUUUUUGACAUAGGUGGCAUGGCACAAACUCGCAUCCGCAUUUCCUUCCCCAUUGGCAUGCUGUCUCAUCUUUUCUAUUCUGUUACCAGCUUGAAGCUUGUGUAGACAUGUUAUGCUCUUGUAAUUCUGAUCACAAACAUCACUUGACAAAUGGAAAGUCACAAUCAGAUCUUUCAGGUGAUCUGGAGGUUUACUUUCUAACAUUUGUUUUCGUGGGGGGGGGGGGGGAGGACAACAAUACAGAAUUUAAAAUUUCUGAUAAUCAAUAGUAGUUUGCAUAUAUCAGCUGGGACCUGUAUGACUGUAUUAUGUAAUUAAUUAUUCUCUUAUUGUUUUGGUACUGUUAAAAGGAGUUAGCCACACAAAAUAAAAAAGGAGGCCUCUUAUUUCAUACUAAUCGUCUGGUCCAUCUGCUGCUUCACUCCCUAGUAGCUUCAUCUCCUGUCCUUUGCUUUAUUUCUGUUAUUUAUUUUGAUUUCAUGUCCAUUGCUUCAUUUCUGUUUGGAUUCUUAAUUAAAUCUGUCCUGGACUUGAACAAGGGUUAGGUUAGCUGUAUAAUUUGCGGUUUUAUAUACACAACUGUCUACAUUGAUUAAAACCAGCAUUAUUCUAAGGUUCAUUUAGAAUGUAUUAUCACCAAAAUUAUAAAGUAUACUUCUAUUACAAUUAAUUUGUUGAUUCUAAUUUGGACUUGUAGGAACAGACCAAACAUGUUCAUAUGUGGCAUUGCUCAAGUCAUCAUCAUUCGGGACAGAGAAUAAGCCUUCAAAUGUCUGCUGAGUCAAUGAACCUUUCUAGAUAUCUCAAGUGUAAUGGAAAUUGAUGAGUUACAAAGGAUUUGUAAACAUUUUCUACUGGAGGCUAGAAAUGCUUCAAAUAAAUGACUGUGUUGCAAUUAUUUUGUAGGAUCAAAGACUCUGCAAAGAGGUAAGAAAGUCAUCAUCAAAUAACUUUGCUCUUCAAACUUUUUAUUUUUAUUUUUAAAUAUCAGUAAUAACUGGGAAAGCUUGCAUCUCCUUAAAUUGCUCAUUCUUACAUCUUUUAUAGUUUGUUGAUCUUGGGCAAGUGGAGAGAGAGGCGUCAAGUGAUACACAACAACCAUUUUCUGUGAGCUGAUUUGAUAAAGAGAAAUGGUAUGCUUUCUUGUCUUAAGCGGUGUGUUCUGCAAUUAUUUGAAACAAAGGAUGCCGCACUUCAAGUUCGAGAAAAUCAGGUAUUUUAGUAUUUUAUUCUUGAGAAAUUUGAUUUAUGUAGAAACUUGAACAUGUAAAUGAGAGAAAUAUAUAUAUAUAUAUAUUAUAUAUUGUAUAUGCUGUUAAUGAGUUAAUAUGGUGCUUGCUCCUAGUUGGAAAUUUAUGUAGUCAUCUACCUAUGAUCAAAUAAAGAUGAAAAAUAAAAUAAAAUUGAGAGCAUCUUCCUCUCCCCUGCUUUGCUCAUCCCUUGUUCUUCCACUUCAGCCCCACUAUUACACCAUUUUUUCAGCCACAAUUAUAAUAGCUCCAUGAGCAUAUUAACAUCAGUGGCCACAGUUCCAUGAUUUGAGUGCACAGAAAGGUUUCAAAAAUUGUCCCAAAAGUACAGUCGUUCAAAGUGAAAGAGAGUUUUCAAAGCUUAAUUACAAGUUCAUGUUAUUUACAAUAGCAAAAAGCUUUCAUUCUUGCUUACAAACUUGUAUUUCCAAGUUCUGUAAACCUUGGAAUUUCACUUCAUCCAAAUCCCCUUCCAAAGCAGGAAAAAAUGGCAGCAGCUUUGAUUGGAGAGGCUCUCAUCUCUGCUUCUAUCGAGGUGUUGUGUGACAGAGUUACUUCAGCCGAGUUCAUAGACUUAUUUCAGCAGAAGAACUUGAUGAAACACUCCUCAUGAACCUGAAGACAACACUGUUGAUUUUGUUUGCGGUGCUCAAUGAUGCAGAGGAGAAGCAAAUUGUGAACCCUGCUGUGAGAGAGUGGCUUAACAGCUCAAGCAUGCUGUCUUUGAUGCAGAGGACUUAUUUGAUGAGAUUGACACUGAAGCUUUGCGAUGCAAGCUGGAAGGUGAGGAUCAAACCCACAAUAGUUAACCAACAAGGAUCUUUUUGAUUGUUUGAAAGAAGAGUCUUUGAUGAUUUGAAAGGAGAGGGUUGCUUUAUUUCUGUUGGAUGCGUAAUUAAAUCUUAUUUGGAGUUGAACAAGGAUUAGAUUAGCUGUAUAAUUAGUGGUAAACGCCUUUUUCUAAGGGUCAUUUAGACUCCUAUUACGAUUAAUUUGUUGUUUCUAAUUUGGACUUAUAGGAACAGACCAAAUAUGUUCACACGUGGCAUCGCUCAAGUCAUCAUCAUUUCAGACUGAAAAUCAGCCUUCAAGUGUCUGUUGAGCCAAUAAACCUUUCUAGAUAUAUCAAGUGCAAUGGAAAUUCAUGAGUUACAUAGAGAUUUGUAAACAUUUUGAAGAUUGCAACACCUGCAAGUGAGAUAGGCGGUGACGAAAUCAGAGCUGAUUUUGAAGCCUCUGAUGCCCCUGUUGUUGCAAGUUGCACCUGAGAACAUGUUUUUUUUUUCUUUGGGGUAAAAAAACUGGCAACAUGUUCGGAGCUGACAAUUCAAUCCCUGAUGAACUAGAGAAGCGAAGCUCCGGUAAGGAAUUGGUCAAGGUUGUGACAGGGAUGAUUGAUGGUGAAAUGGAUGCUAUUUCUUAUUGCAGCCUGUUCUCAAAGUUCUUGUUGGCAAAUGCAAGAGAUGGAGUAUUUUGAUUGGGAGGAGAUAUAAUGACAUGGCUUGACAAUUCUAGAACAGCCCAUCAUUAAUCCCAGAAAAAAUCCAGUUUCUGCUAAACAAUCACUUAUGGCAAGGCCAACUCUGUAAAUGGAAUUUGUGAUCCCUUGAAAUUGUACACAUUUUUUCUUUUUGAGGAAUUUAAUCAAACAGUAUUCUAAUGUAUUAUGAUAGCACUACACGCUUUUGUUGUAACAAAUUACAAGGAGGAAUUUGGAUUGAGUUUCUUGUAUAAGCACACCUUACACAAAUUUGGUAUAUUUUCUUCCAGCAAGUCUGUUUAUUAACCCCCUUAUCUGAAAUUAAUUGUUAAAAGUUUUGAUUCAUCUUUAAUCAGUGUCUAACCCUUGUUGAAUAACACUCCUCUUUCUAAUUUAUAUUUGAAGUUUGAGGUUUCAAUUUCAAUUGUGGGCUUUGAUUUUACAGAUUUUGUUUGUCAAUUUCAGUUUGGACAAAGCAUAUGCAAACAAAAUAAGCAUUUUAUGUUAUACUUUUGAAAUAGGUGUUGAUUUGAUUUAAUCAUAAGUUUUGCUGGUGCAUUUACUAGGCUAUCAUUCAAUACUUUUGAUCAUAGAACUUCUUUGGUCGAUAUUAUCUUUGUUAAGUUUAACCAUAAAUUUAGAGAGGGGACUUCAACAGAUUUAUAAUCUCAUCAUUAUAGUAUUAAAAAUUAGAGAUUAAGGCAUUGUCUAUUAUCUGAAUUCUGCUUACUUUUAGUUCAUAUGUUUACAUCUUAGCAUAUUCAUGCGAUUAGUGCGGCUCAUACCACAAAGGCAACUUUAGGCUCAUCAAGUGCUAAGCAAUGUCAAGCUUCCAAGUGACAAGUUCUCUACAUAGUUUGAGACCUACACUUACUAGAUAUUAGAUCAUUUCGAUCAUUUCCAUAUGUUUAUAUGUAAUUGACAUGUUAUAACAAUUUUUGUAGCGUUAUAUAAUUAUUUAGCAAUUUAAUUAUUUCUUUGCAUCAAGAAAUAGUUCUUAAGUUAUUAAAAAAAAAAAAAAAGAUUUAAAAAAAAAGAUUUGUUGAUGCUUAAAAAGCAUCAAGAACAGGUAGUUUCUUGACGGUUUAGUGACGUUUCAUAACUGUAGGAGGCUUUUUCUUCCGACAGCUGUAAAUGGGCUGGGUUGCCGUAAAGGGCAGACUGAUGAAAUUGUCCCCUUUUGUCUGAGCUAGAAAAUUAAGCCCCAAAAUACUUCGAAAGGGCAGCAGAGCCUUAGGAAGUAUUUUGGUUACCCUCACCAACUAAAACAACAACAACUUACAGGUAAUUUCUUAAUGCUUACAGAUGAACUCUUGAGCUUGGCAUGAGAGACAUGUGGCAUGGAAGCAAAAUCAACAUGAGUUUAGCACUGAGGGGAAAUUUAGGCUCUCUUGGGGGAAAAAGGGAAGUGUUAAGGUGAGAGAGGAGAAGUUUGUAGGAGAUUUAGCUAAGAAAGGAGAAAUAUAGAACAAUGCUCUUCUGGCAGCUUGACAGAUGCUCUGUCUGCCAGAAAAGGAAGAUGGAGAAGAAAUGUGAAUAGUGCACGAGUUUGCUAGAUUUUUGCAGGUAAGAGAGGAAGCUUGCUCUCUGGGUCUGAGUUGAGUUUUGUUAGGUGGAAGAGACCUCAUUUUAUAGCUCCUGGAAACCAUCACUUCCCAAGAAACCCUAAUGGCUUCUACCCAUUUUGGCCAAGCUUUUCCAUUCCUUUCUCAUUUCCUUCCUUGACUUUACCCCUCUUGAUGAAAUCCUCUCUACCUAUUUGCACCAGAUCAGAGUUUUUUGAAGCUUAAGGCCCCCUUUUCCCGCAGUUGUCUCAAUGGGAGACUUUCAUUCCUAGUCAUUUCCUUUAUUGCUUUCCUUUCUUUUUUUCAUGGCCAAGUCUGGUGGGGAAAGGAGUUGGGAUAAAUAUGCUAGUUUGAAGGGUGCUUCUCUUCUUGGCAUCUUACACACUAAUACCCCUUGGUUCCUUGAAUGUUUUGGCUUUGAAACUUGCUCCCCUCCAUGUAUUGGAACCUCCCAGCAGCCCUGGUCAAUGAAUCUUCAGACCUUCUCUUCGUGGCUUUUAUUUUUUUAUCAACUGGCUAGGGCUUUUGUGGCUCAUUGGGGCAAUUGUAUGGGCUAAGGUGGUUCAUUAAGUAAGUGGGCUAUUUUUAUUAAACAUUGAGCUUUUUGGUUGAGUCACUAGGCUAUUUUGAUUGGGCUAUUGGGCUAUUGUUUCCUCUCUUGUGCUCACCCACAUGUUUGGACCAAAGAAAUGAGCUUGAGUCCUGAGGCUCCCAAGCGACCCGAGACUUUCCAUUUAUCGGUCCAUCAAUGGGCCUCAUGUUGAUUUAUUACCAUCCAUACCACACCCCACUCAAGCAAGCCCCGGGCAUUUGAGUGGCUUGGGCCCACUUAGGCUUGUAGUGUGGUUGGGUGCAAAAUAACGAUUUCGUGCUUGGCAUGUUUUAAUUUUAUCAUCCAUGGGAAAGGCUGCGAUGUUUGAUUUCGGCAUGGGCUUGUAGAGCUGGUAUGCUUUAUUUCAACUCCUAGCAUGACGAAUUAUUUAUUUAGCAUGGCACGUGAAUUACAACUCGCAUGUGGUGGGUUUUUGUGUACUACACCUUACGCCUCUUCUUAAUAGAACAUCGUUUCUGAUAAUUUAUUUGGGCCCAACCGUGAAUUUUUUGGAUCUCAAUAAUAACCAUCAUGAAACAUUACAUUUUGACUGACAUCAAGAAAUGGGGUAUCCCUUUCUUGAUAGUGGCAUCCAUGAUGCCUUCCAAGCCGUCAAUUAAGGGCUAUCGCGAUGCAUUUUAGUUGUCAGCAAAAGGUGUUUUUCUUGUACUAUAUUCACUCAAAAUCGUGUUUCAUUUAAGAUUAGUAGUAUGGUUGAAUACCAUUUGUUUUGUUAAAGAAUAUUAUACAUUAGGGAUUUUUGUAGAAAUGUCAUUUGAACUUAUACCUUAGUUUCAAUUUGUCACCUUGAAGAAAAAUUUAAGAGAAAUAUCACCUUAAUUUUUUAAAAUCCAUGAUUUGUCAUAUGACUUUAAGAUCAUCCAAUUUUCCAUCCAUUUUAAGGGUAUUUUAGACUUUUCAUUUUCAAGGAAAAAAAAGAGAUGAAAAAAGAGACCUCUCUCUUACUUUGUCCCCCAACCCAACCCCACCCGCCCCCAAAAACACAUCACAUAGGAUUGCCUCCCCCUUCCCCACUUUUCUUUUUUCUUUUUGUCAUACUUUUCCACUGUGUUUAUGUUGAAGGAUCUAAAGUUUGCUUGGUCACCAUCUUUUACGUAGGCUUCCUAAUUGUUGGUUUGGGUGGGUUGUGGGAAUUUGUGUGUGGAGGGCAAGGCUCUAUCUGACAGGACCCACCUCGAAUUCCUCGAAACCCGAGACGAAUCUUGUAGAAUUUCCGACAUCACACCGAUGCCGGGUCCACUUCUGAACUAAAUCCUCUUUUCCAAAAUUAAGGAAAAAUAGUACGAGGCUUUCUGCCAAAAUUUCGGCAGUCUUCCCUAUAAAUUUAACGUUUCAGCUUUGGAGGCCGUUCUUUCAUUUCUGCUUUGGUGGCCGGAUGAGAGAACGGCCGGCUAAAACGUGGCCAGCUGGCACUGCCGUCACGAGAGAGAGAGAGAGAGAGAGAGAGAGAGAGAGAGAGAGAGAGAGAGAGAGAGAGAGAGAGAGAGAGAGAGAGAUGUUUAUCAAACCAUUUUUGCCAAAAUUACGAUUAUGCAACUGAGGGUAUUUUGAUCGUAUCUUUUUCGUUAUAACUCCGAUUCAAGCCCACUACAUAUCUACGGACUCAUCUCGCCGUGCUCUAUGCAAUUGUAUAGUUGAAAUUCCCAAAUUCCAUCCCAGUCAAAAAGUCAACUUUAAACCUUAUAAAAUAUUCUAAGGGCAAAAUGGUCUUUUAUCUAAUUAAAUUAAUAAUUGAAAAUUUAUUUAGGACCGGGUCGUUACACUGUCGUUGAUGGACUGUGCGAUGGCACUCACACAAAGUCCUUAAGAAUAAAACACACACACACCAUGAAGAGAGUAAAACAAAUGCACAAAGAUUUAUAAAGGUUUGGCCUCCUGCCUACAUCCUCUUGGUGAUCCACCCGAGAAAUUCACUUGUACGUAAGAACAACUUUGGUUACAACUAAACCCCCUUAGCUUUCAUAAGAACCCUAGAUCUCUUUUCUCCCACCCUUGCUCCAACCCUUUGAUGCCCUUGUAAACACUCAAGAAUUCAUCCUUGAAUUCUAUCAUGUGUUACAUCUUCUCUUCUCCCCUUUGCCAACCUAACCCUACAAGUUAUAUUUAAAAUUCAUUGGACUUUAAGUACAAGUUAACUAGGAAUAGGAAACAUAAAAGACCCCAAAAAUUGGAGAAAAUAUGUCUAGAUCUCAUUAGGAAAUUGCACAACACGUGCGAUCCUCUCGAGCGCCUGCAAAAUCAUCCCUUUGCCGCUCGAGCUGCCGAUAGCUCAUGGGAUGGGGGAAUUAGAAAUUUUUUUUUUUCAAUUUUAAUUGUUUAAAAGAUAUACAAUUUAUUAAUAAUAAUUUUUCCAUUUUUAAAAUACCCUUGAAAAUAGAAAGAUUAAAAUGCCCUUAAAAAUGGAUGGAAAAUUGGAUGGUGUUAAGGUCAGAUGACAAAUCAUGGAUUUUGAAAAAUUAAGGUAACGUUUCUCUUAAAUUUUUCUUUACAGUGACAAAUUGAAAUUGAGGUAUAAGUUCAAGUUACAUUUCUGCAAAAAUUCUUAUACAUUAUGAUAUUCUAACAAUAAUUGGCUAAAAUUGAUAUGUUCCCUCUUUUAUUUUCUUUUUCUCUUUUCCUUUUCAUUUUAUGAUCCAAUCCUUUUCAUAUAUUUUUGUUCAAGACUUUGUUUUAUAAUGCUCUAUUACUAAUUUGGUACAGGUCCCUAAAAUCUCGGAGCCGCCUUAGUACAUUCAUAACGUACAUGUUCAGAGUUCAAGAAUAAUGUAUAGAAUGUGAAAUUGACGAUGCCGGCCUUUAUGAGGCAACAUCUUUAUUUCUUUGGUUAUUCCAGUUUAGAAUAUUUGCACAAAUGAGAUGACUCCAAGCAUAAAGUCACAUUCGACCAAAAAGCAUAAAGUCACACACAAAAAGAACACGGACAAUUGCUAAGUUUAUCCUUGUACCCUUAUUUUAUUGAUCCGACCCAAUUGAAAAAUAAAAAAAGAUGAUAAAAAAUAUUGUUCACUGCUUUAAAAUCUAUGAGUAGAGUCCUCCAUUUGAAAUUUGGUCAUUAUACAAAAUUGGAAUGAAAAAAGAAAAUCCUAAAGCUAUAUUUGAUAUAUUUCAUUUUCAUUUUUUGCUGGGUGUUAGGGCUCGUCAAUGGGCCGGGCCUGGCUAGCCCGGCCCGAAUUUAAUGGGCUUGGGCCAGGCCGGCCCAGGCUUUAAAGAGGAGAGAGAAAAUAUCAGGUCGAGUUUUUUAAGAAAAUUCAAAGCCCAAGCCUGACCCAUGAGCCGGGCUUGAGAAAGCCCAUCGGGCCGGGCCGGGCCUAAACGGGCCCUACUUCAUUCAAAAAAAAUCAUUAACUUAAUCAUAAGGUCAUUUUAGUCCAAAUUUGAGAUUAAACUCACUUAAUUCUAAUAUUUUUACUUCAAACCAAAUUCAUAAAACACCCAAUAAAGUCACACAACUUGUAAGAUUUUCCACAAAAAUAAUAAAACCAAGUAUUAUUUUUGAGGUUAUUACAUAAUUAGAUCGUAAUACGUUUUAAAAAAUAAUUUUUAAAAAUAAUAUUAAUAAGUAUCAAAAAAAUAUUUUUUUAAAGGAUGGUAUGAAUAAAUAUGCAAAUAUUUGGUGAUGUGUUCAAGAAAAGGAUGAUUAUAUUUGGUGGUACGAUUAUGUUUCGUGAUACGAUUAUAUUUAGUGAUGUGAUAUGUUGUUCAUCUUAUAUAUAUAUAUAUAUAUAAUUGUUGAACUAAUAAUUGACACAAAUUAAUGUGUUAAUCAUCCAAUUAUAAACUAGGAGUGAAUAAAGAAAAGUAAAUGAAAUGAAACAAAUUAUAUGUGUGAUUUAAGUGAUAUAAUCCUAAACCUAAACUCUUAUUUAUACAUAAUUAUAUAUGUAUGCGGGCCUAACGGGCCGGACUUUUGUGGGCGUGUCGGGCCGGGCUUUCUUGGGCUUAAUCAGGCUGGACCUAUGGGUCAGGCCGGGCUUCAAACACCCCAACACGAGCCUAGCCUAGCCCGCCUUGGGCCGGGCCAUCUCAAAGCCCAUAACGAGCCGGAUCGGGCUUUUUUCGAUUGGCCGGGCGGGCCCCCUCGACCCAUGAGCCCGCGGGCCAAAUGAUGAGGCCUACUGGGUGUUCAAUUUUUCUUGUUUCUUGUUGAAAAGAAAAAUGAUAAUUAAUAAAAUCUGAUUUGGUGGUUGUGCUCGUCACAAAUCAAUGAAAUGACAGCAGUGAUUUUGCAAGACAGCAUACCUUCUCUUGGGGUGCUUUUCAUUUUGCAACAUUUCUUUACGUGUAAUUUCCAGAGGAGGGUUUAUCAUUGUAUAUAGCUCUUCGGGUGGUUUUUUCUGCAAAACAAAUGUCACAAGGAAGGAGGAGAAACGGAAAAGAUUUACUUGGAAUGUCUCAAGUCUCCUUUGAGAUAAAGGCAUCGAAUGCACAACAUUGUUUUUGUGCUAUUUCAUAAUUAAAGUGUGCUUCCCAAGUCUCCUUUGCGUUUUGUAACUUGUAAUGUUUGUUUUUUUGUUUCCCCUGUUUUGUCUUUUAUAAAAGAAAGAGGAAUGCUAGCAACCUUCUCUCUAAUCUUCUCUUUUGGACCUUCUCCCUUUUCUUUUUGACAAGUGUCAUUUUCCAUACACUUAAAACAAUGACAUUAAUGCAUCACACAAUUUAGUUUUUGUUUUCCAAGUUUACCAUUUUAAAAUGUAUUGGCUUUUAUAUUUCCUUCAAUUAUUCACAUUUUGUUAUAACUUGUUUAGCACAUUAUUUUUUUUAAUUUAAAAAAAGUCAUAUUUUUUAAAAAUAAAAAUAAAGUUUGUUUCAUGACAUUGUUAUCAUUUUUAUUUUGUUUUUAACAAAACACGCAUUCUCUUUGGAAAAAUUAAAAAUUAAAAAACAAUUCAGUUUUUAUUUUCUUAUUUAAUUUUUAACAAGCUAGUAAGAAAGUUAUAAAAAAAAAUUAGCUUGUUAUUAAAAAAAAAUUAAUACAUUUAAUAAGGGUAAAUUUGGAAAACAAAAACUAGUUUGUGUGAUGCAUUAAUGACAUUGUUUUUAGUUUAAGGAAAGUGACACUUGUCAUGAGAAGAAGGGAGAAGGUCCAAAAGAGAAGGUUAGAGAGAAGGUUGUUAGCACUCCCCAUAAAAGAAAUACAGGUCUGAACCACACGGAUCUACUUGCAUAAUAAUGGACCAAAUUUAUGAUUUUUAGAAAGAACCUUCUACUGGUGGAAUCUUGGGCUACUGUUGUGGCUCUCCUCUGUGUGCCUCCUUUUUAGAAUGGUAAAAUAUUCAAAAUACCAGAAAAUGUUCAUGAUUAAUGCAAAUAUUAAGAAUUGAAAUUAUUAAUUAAAUGAAGAUAAUAUGGUAAAUUCACACUUUUUCAUAUUAAAAAAAUUAAAAUUAAAAGAAAUAUCAGAUAAUUACUCUUAUUUUUAUGGAACACAGCUACCCAUUAUCUUUUUUAAUUAUAAAAUAAAUUUAAAUUAUAAAAAAAAAAUCCUCUCACAUGCACGGAAGCGCGUGCUCAGAGGCUAGUUAAAAAUAAUGAACUUUGCUUCUGAUGUCUAUACCAGACCCACUCAACCUGCUUUAUGAUUAUACAAAGAACAAACUCGUCCUUAGACUCAUUUGGUUAAACUUAGAAAAUAAUGAAACAAAAAUAUACACACCCACAAGUAACACAGCCAGGAUUGAAAACAACUGGACAAAGAAAGGCAUGUUAAAACAGAAUUUUCAACAACUCAUCACCAUUAGACAAGAAAAAGAAAAAUCAAUACAGAAACAGAAAGAACAGAGAAUAAAUGUGGUGGAAGAAAAACGUUGAAGCCAUUUGUGAAUCCAACAACACUACCACUCUGUUUCUCUCCUUUUGUUCAGGCGGAUCUGCAUAUAUCCUAAGGCGUAUUACGGAAACAACUUCUUGCCGUUAUACUUGAAUGUUGUGGAUGCUUCAACGUUGCCAUCUGGGUGGAGUGGAUUUGUCCAAUUCACCUUCACUAUGGUUAAUCAACUAGACAGACAUAAGUCAGAAACAAUAGGUAUAUAGGUCCAAAUUGUUGUUAUUUGAAAGGCUUCUAAAUUUUAACAUUUUGAUUUCUAAAUUUUGUUUUAAUAUUUCGGCCCACUUAGUUCUUCUCAAAAUAUGUCAUCAAUAUCGUUGAAAGGUUGAACUUAGUGAAUUAUUAUAGUGCAGUACGGUAAAAUAGGCACAUGAUAUAAUUUGUCCACAUGUUCUAAUAUAAGUGAAUAUUUAUUGAUAUUAUUUUCAAAAAUAAAAAAUAUCAACCAUUACAUCCUCCCAUAUUAUAAUACAUAUACAAAUUAUACCACAUUAUCAUACUCUAAUACCAUUUUAUAAUUUCUCGUACUUAGGAGGUAUAGAGCGAGUCAAUGACAUUACAUAAUAUAUAAUUGUUCAUAUAAUGGGGCAACUAACGUGAUCAACAAGUUGUGGUGAUUAAUUUAACAUAAUAAAAAACAUACCAUUUACUAUGUAACAAUUUGUUCUUUUAAAUUGGAUUGUCAUCACUUUAAUAUGUUAUGUUUCUUAUUCUAGUCUCCCAUGUUAAGUGCUUCAGCAUUGUUUGUGGUGUGUACACAAAUUUUCUUAUAAAAUGUUUUAAUGCUUCUCACAUGUAUAUCAGAUAUAGACAGUUGAUGUGACUUAGAAAUCAAAUUGUCAAUAAAGAAAAAAAAUAUAAUUGGUGAUCGAGGUCCAAUUUAAUAGAAAAUAGUCUUAAUUUGUAUAUUAAAGGUUUCAGAUUCGAAUCCUCACUGCAUUAUUGUUGUAUGCGUACACGAGAAAUUCUAUUUCCCAAUAAUUUAGAUUAUCACUUAUACUAAAAAAAAUAUAUAUAAUAAGUUUUACGAAUGCAAACAUAAAAUUACACCAAACAAUAAUGGAAUAGAAAGAUGGAAGUUUUUUUUUUUUCCUACAUCUAAAGUAUACUUUAUAUAUAUAUUUAUUAUGGGAGUUAUAACCGUUUAAUUUUCAGUUUUUAUUUUCUAUUUAUUGUGUUAAUUUUUAUGGUUUAAUAUGUAUGGAGAUUACAAGUAUUGGAUGUCUAUAAAGGGCCACUCCUCCUUCACAUCUGAAACAAACCACCAUCUCAUUUCUGUAUUUUCAUACUUUCAUAUAUUUUCUACUUUCCAGAUUAUUAUUUUUGGGCAACGGUUUUGUGACUUGGAGAUUUCUAUCCGAUUGUUAACAUGCUCAUAACGGACCUUGAGCUUGCGUAUUGGGGAUCGUAUCUUGGAGCCUUGUAGACCUUUAUUACGUGCAUGUAGGGAGGCUACAAAUGCUUUAGGUCAGCGUCUUUGACGUACUUUUGCUUUCUUUUUUUACUUAUUUCUUCGUUUCUUUAUUUUUACUUUACUUUUAAAUCUUUAUUUUAUGUAUUAUUUAUAUUUAAAAGUUUUGAAUAAGAGUUUUACAGAAAAGGAAAAACACAAUUUCAAAUAACACAAAUUUCUCGUUUUUUGUUCUUAAAAAAGAAGAAGCAUUGAUUGGGGAGUUAUGGUAAACUCAGUUUCAAUGGUUGCGAUGAGAGGCGGUGGCGGCGAGGAGAGGACGAAGGCUUUGCUGCCGACGGGGUGGUGUGGCUGGCUGCUUGGUCCUGGGUUCUCCUUUAAUUCUCUGUUUUCUUUUUUCAUUUUCUUUUUCUCUUAGAGUUAUUGAUGUUAAGUGAAUGGACAGAUGCCAAAAUAGGGACAGAAGAUGUGAACCCAAUUAUAUACAGCUGCUGCUAUAGCUGAUUACAUAAAGUAACAAAUUAAUUAAUGCUUGAGUGGAGGACAGGCUUGAGUGGAAGAAUUGAUUAAGGCUUGAGUGGAAGACAAACUUCAGUGGAGGAAAGUAUAGAUAAGGAAAGCAUGCCUCGUUUAACGGCUUUAUCUAAUAAAGAUUACUUGUUGGCACUUGGAGUUUCUUAGGAAUGCUGGUUUUGUUUCCUUGGUGGACUUGAAAGGUGGUGCCUUGGCUCGGACAUCUCCCAAGACAUACAACUGCUCAUUAGCUGAAUAUCUCGCUCUCUUUAAAGAGAUCGAAGCAAACACAAUUUGCAAUUUGUGUGAUUCAAGCAUGAAUAUCUGAUAUAGUAACUAUACCAUUUGUUGGUUUGAUAAGAAAAGUUUGGUUAGCGAGGAUGAAACCAUAAAGUUCCCAAAACACACAAAGAACACGGACAAUUGCUAAGUUUAUUCUUGAGUUCACACAUAUUUGCACAAAUGAGAUUAUUCCAAGCAUGAUUAUACCAUUUGUUGGUUUGAUGUGAAAAGUAUGGGCAACGAGGGGUAAAACCAUACAAACACACACGAAGAACGUGGACAAUACUAAAUUUAUCUUUACGUUAUUGAUCCGACCUAACUGUAAAAUAAAAAAGAUGAAAAUAUAUAAUGUUCAGUACUUAGAUCUAUGAGCACUUGCACAAAACAUCACUUUUGGUCUUUGGUAAAUUUUUAAAAUAAAUGAAUUUUUUACUUAUUUGUGAACUGAAAUGCCUCUAAAAAAAUAAUGAUAGUUCGAAGAAUUUGAUAGAAAUUAAAAAAUAUCCUCAAAUUACUUGGAAUUGAAGACCACAUAGGCAAAAACACGAAAUUGAAACCUCACUUUAAUGAUAAAAAUGGUAAACUACAAAGACAAAAAUGACGUCUUGCCUUAUAAAUAAUUGGAAUUUGCUGGUGAUAAUAGUCGAUAUCAUCUUUUGUCGGUCCGACCUAAAAAGAAGAAAAAGUUAAAAGCAUCUUGUACCAAUUUUUGCCAAUGUGGGCCCAAACAAUUUGAAGAAGUCCACCGGCAAUUUCUCAAAAGCUAUUGUGUGAGUGUGAAGCUAAACCAAUAUUAUUUUGCAUAUCCGACCCCACAUCCCCAUGUGAUGUGAGGCUACAGAGGUGUUUCCAAAACGAAAUAUGAUAUUUCAAAACGUAGCUAUGUAUAGAGUCAUUUGUAUUUGCUUUCACAAUAACAUUUGAUUUUAUAUUUAUACAUUCUGAUAUUUUAACAAAUAAAUUGACUAAAUUUGGCCAACAGGAUUUAGCCGAAUAGAAAAGUUCUUAUUUAUGGACUAGUAAUUUUAAAUUUAAAAUUUAGACUAUCGCAUGUAUUUAAAAAAAACUAAACAAUUGGCUUAAUUUGAUAUAUUUCCUUUUUUUCCUUUUUGCAUUUUAUGCUGGUUGCCGUUAUUAAGUUUUAUCCUUAUUUUUUGUUGAAAAGAAAAUUGAAAAAAAUAAUAAUAAUUCCUACAGCUAGCAACUUCUCCACCUACAAAAAAUAAUAUUUUUUGUUUUAUCCUCAUGUGAGGCUACAGAAAAUUUUUGAAAACGAAACUGGAUAUUUUAUCUCUAACGACAGCUUUCAUACUUCGUUUACCCUGUGUUUCCAAGUUGUGCUAGCUAUUUGCAAACCUUGGAAUAUUACUUCAUCCAAAUCCCUUGCAGAGAAAAGAAAGAUAUGGCUUUGAUCGGAGAGGCCCUCAUCUCUGCUACCAUCCAGACGUUGUGUGACAAAAUUGCUUCGCCUGAGUUCACCGACUUAUUUCGGCAGAAAAAGCUCGAUGAACAACUCCUCAACAAGCUGAAGACGACGCUGUUGACCUUGUCCGUAGUGCUUAAUGAUGCAGAGGAGAAGCAAAUUGAGGAACCUUUAGUGAGAGACUGGCUUGACAAUCUCAGACAUAAUGUCUUGGCUGCGGAGGACUUACUGGAUGAAAUCGACACUGAAGCUUUGCGAUGCAAACUGGAAGAAGGUGAAGGUCAAACCCACAAUUUAACCAAGAAGGUACGUGAUUUUUAUCAACGCAUGAAUGUUGAGAUGAAAGAUUUAUUAGAAAGAUUAGAACAAUUUGUACAAGAGAAAAGUGCUCUUGGUUUGAGAGAAGGUGCUGGGAGGAAGGUUUCACGAAGAACAACAACUUCCUUGGUUCAUGAACCUUGUGUCUAUGGUAGAGAUGAAGUCAAAGAAAAUCUGUUGCCAAUUUUGUUAUCUGAUGAUGCAAGUAAGGAUGAUGUGUCUGUCCUCACCAUUGUUGGAAUGGGUGGGAUUGGCAAGACAACCCUUGCCCGACUGCUUUAUAAUGACGAUGAGGUGAAAGAACAUUUUCCACUUCACGCUUGGGUUUGUGUUACGGAAGACUAUGAUUCUAAUAGGAUAACUAAAACUCUUCUAGAGUCAGUCACCUCAAAGUCUUCUAAUAUGACAGAUCUAAAUUUACUUCAAGUUGAACUAAAAGAACAACUCAAGGGAAAGAAAUUCUUAUUUGUUUUGGAUGACCUAUGGAAUGAGAAAUAUGGUGAUUGGAAACGCCUCCAAACUCCUUUUACUUCUGGGGCAAGGGGAAGUAAAGUCAUUGUAACAACACGGAGCCAACAUGUAGUAUCUGUCCUGCAAAGUGUUCAUGUUCAUCACUUGGAACCCUUGUCGCACGAAGAUUGCUGGUUCUUACUUGCAAAACAUGCAUUUGGAAAUGAAAAUUGCAGUGAUCCAAACUUGGAAGAAAUUGGCAAGAAAAUUGCACACAAGUUCAAUGGGUUGCCUUUAGCUGCAGAAACACUUGGGGGUUUGUUACGUUGCAAUAUAGAUUCAGAGGAAUGGAAUACAAUACUAAAUAGCAGUAUUUGGGAGCUACCCUAUGAUAAAUGUGACAUUCUUCCGGCUCUUGGGUUGAGUUACCAUUAUCUCUCCUCCCAGUUAAAACGAUGCUUUGUUUAUUGUUCAAUUUUUCCAAAGGAUUAUGAGUUUAAAAAGGAAGAUAUAGUUCAAUUUUGGAUGGCAGAAGGUUUAAUUCCAAAAGCUGAGAAUGGAAAGAGCAUAGAAGCGGUAGCUAGAAAAUACUUUGAUGAGCUGUUGGCACGAUCGCUAUUUCAAAAGUCAAGCAAAUCCGGUUUCACAAUGCAUGAUCUCAUUAAUGACUUGGCCAUGUUCAUGUGUAAGGCAUUUUGCCUUAGGUUGGAAGGGGGGGAAUCACAUGUCGUAGAAAAAGUUCGGCAUUUUUCAUAUGCUAUGGAAAGAUUUGAUGCAGCUCCAAAAUUUGAGCCAUUACAUAGGGCUAAGUUUAUGCGGACCUUUCUACCCAUAUCAUUAAAUUUUGUUUCCACUUCUUAUGUAACUAAAAAGGUUCUACAAGAUUUGUUGCCGUCACUAAGAUGUUUACGGGUGUUAUCAUUGUCACAUUAUCAAAAUGUUACUGUGUUACCUGAUUCUAUUGCAAACCUCAUUCACUUGCGCUACUUGGAUCUUUCCGGUACCGCAAUUGAAAGGUUACCUGGGGUACUUUGCAAUCUCUACAACUUGCAGACAUUACUAUUGUCAAAAUGUUUCUCACUCCUUGAAUUGCCUGCAGACAUUAGAAAAUUGACUAAUUUACAGAAAUUGACAUUGCUCGGUUGUAGUUCUCUUAAUAAAUUGCCUGCAGGCAUGAAGGAGUUGACUAAUUUGCAUCAUCUUGAUGUCAGUGGAACUAAAAUUGAAGAGAUGCCGGUGCAAAUGGGUAGAUUGAAAAGUUUGAGAACAUUGACUGCAUUUGUUGUGGGCAAAUCUACUGGGUUAGGCAUAAGAGAACUGAGGCAGUUCCCGCAACUUCGAGGAAAACUAUCAAUUUUGAAGCUACAAAAUGUAGUUGAUGCGAGGGAUGCACUGCACGCCAAUAUGAAGCACAAGAAAGAUCUCAAGGAGUUAAAGUUUUCAUGGGGUGCGGAGGAUGCUGAUGAUUCCCAAAAGGAGAAAGAUGUACUCGACAAGCUCCAGCCUUGCGUGAAUUUGGAGAAAUUAUCCAUCAAAUUCUAUGGUGGAACCAAUUUUCCGAAUUGGUUAGGAGACUCGUCUUUUUCUAACAUACAAGUCAUGCAUCUCAGUGACUGUAGUUAUUGUUGGUUGCUCCCACCAGUUGGACGGCUACCGGCACUCAAAGAGCUCUGUAUAAAAAGAAUGAAGUCUUUGAGGACGAUUGGCGUUGAAUUCUAUGGCAGAAAUGGAGCUUAUCUGACUCAGCCAUUUCGAUCUCUGGAGAAGCUAGAGUUUAGGGGGAUGCCGGAGUGGGAGGAAUGGGUACCAAGUGGAAGUGCAAGUGGAGGUGAAUAUGGUCCAGACUUUCCUCGUCUCCAAAAGCUGAUUCUAAACGAGUGUCCGAAGCUAAGAGGAAGUUUGCCUUGUGAGUUGCCUUGCUUGAAGAAGCUUACGGUGUAUGGGUGUAAGGUUUUACAUGAUGGAAGGACCGCUACCGCAACUACCAAUAGUGUUAACUAUAAAUCUCUGGAAGAAUUGGAUAUAAGUGGUGGAUGCCAAACUCUGUUAUCAUUAUUAGAGACAAAGCUCCUGUCCCGACUUCGGAUUCGAAAUGUUGUUGACAUACAGUGCUUGCCCAACUGCAAUCGUCUUCAACGUUUGACUCUUUGCCUAACGCUGUCAUCGUUUCCCAAAGAUGGCCUACCCACUACAUUGACAUCACUUUAUAUAAACAAUUGUAGGAAAUUAGAAUUCCUACCUCAUGAGAUGUUGGCCAAAUUAACAUCGCUUGACUAUUUGUGCGUACAAAAUAGCUGUGAUUCAAUGAGGUCCUUCCCGUUGGGCAUUUUUCCCAAAUUGACGACGCUUCAAAUUCGUGGUUGUGAGAAUCUGGAAUCUUUUUCCUUGAUUGAAGAAGAAGGAGCUGUUGACAAUCUCAGCCAUCUCAAUUCCUUGCGUGUCUAUAACUGUCCAAAAAUGGUGUGUUUUCACGAGGGAGAAUUGCCCACUCCCAACCUGAGUCACUUUGUAGUCAUUGGUUGCGAGAAUUUGAAGUCAUUGCCCGAACGCCUUCACACCCUCACUGCCCUUCGAUCUUUGAAUAUAUGGAAUCUUCCGAAUCUGGAGUCAUUUGCAGAAGAUGGGGGUUUGCCUCCCAACCUCCGAUCUUUUAUCAUUAGGAAUUGUAAGAGACUGAGGGCACUUGACUCAGUGGGUUUGCAAGCACUUGUCUACCUUCAGAUCGAUGGAAGUGACCAUGUCUUGGAGACGUUGCUGCUCCCUACCACUCUUCACACUCUCUGCAUCUCUGAUCUAUCAACUCUGAAAUCUUUGGACGGAAAGGGUCUUGGACACCUCACUUCUCUUCAAACUCUAAAAAUUUACAGCUGUCCAAGUCUUCAAUGCCUGCCAGAAGAGGGUUUGCCGCCAUCUCUUUCUCAUCUGAGUAUCCGCUGUUGUCCUACCCUGGAGGAAAGGUAUAAGAAUAAAACGGGACAAGAUUGGGCAAAGAUAUCUCACAUUCCUUGCAUCGAGAUAGGGGAAGAAGUGAUCAUAUAAUAUGAGCUAUUCCAUAUUUCACGCUCAACCCUCAACUCUCAAAUCAAAGUCAGG